CGCCCAAGAUCACUUUUCCCUCGGACACACAACGCGGCAAACUCCCUUUUGGCGGCUGGCAUUGCGCACGCGCUGGGAGCGGACAGGUCAGGACAGCUACUGGACGAGGUCGGGAGUACCAUAGUUGAAGGAGAGCCUCUGCAGGAAUGCCUCCGGCACGGCAACACUUGUUACGUCAAGUGAUGUUGAUGCUUCUUCUUCUUCUUCUUCUUCUUCUUCUUCUUCUUCUUCUUCUUCUUCUUCUUCUUCUUCUUCUUCUUCUUCUUCUUCUUCUUCUUCUUCUUCUUCUUCUUGUGUUACAAUUACUCAAAAUCAUUUAUGGUGGUAGAAAGACCCCAUUUUUUCCUUCAGGUGCAGGAGUAAAAAGGGAAAAGUCUAAGGGACUGAACAACUUUUAGCCUCUCUCUCUCUCUCUCUCUCUCUCUCUCUCUCUCUCUCUCUCUCUCUCUCUCUCUCUCUCUCUCUCUCUCUCUCU